rnacentral:pre_miRNA from 1 species
UUUAUUGCCGCUGCAGCAUCAUCAAGAUUCUCAUCACCAAAAGGGUUUGGCCGAAAAAAGAACAAACACAAAGAGAGAGUAUAUAUGUAUCAGUUAACCACCUUUCCUUUGCAUGUGAAUCUUGAUGGUGCUGCACCAGCAAAAAA